CUGGUACUGAGACCCGGACCAGAUUCCUACGGGAGGCAGCAGUAAGGAAUUUUGGUCAAUGGAGGCAACUCUGAACCAGCCAUGCCGCGUGCAGGAUGACUGCCCUAUGGGUUGUAAACUGCUUUUGUCAGGGAAUAAACCUUUCUACGUGUAGAAAGCUGAAUGUACCUGAAGAAUAAGGAUCGGCUAACUCCGUGCCAGCAGCCGCGGUAAUACGGAGGAUCCAAGCGUUAUCCGGAUUUAUUGGGUUUAAAGGGUGCGUAGGCGGUCCUAUAAGUCAGUGGUGAAAGACGGCAGCUUAACUGUCGCAGUGCCUUUGAUACUGUAGGACUUGAAUCUAUUUGAAGUGGGCGGAAUAAGACAAGUAGCGGUGAAAUGCAUAGAUAUGUCUUAGAACUCCGAUUGCGAAGGCAGCUCACUAAGUUAGUAUUGACGCUGAUGCACGAAAGCGUGGGGAUCAAACAGGAUUAGAUACCCUGGUAGUCCACGCCCUAAACGAUGAUAACUCGAUGUUUGCGAUACACAGUAAGCGUCCAAGCGAAAGCGUUAAGUUAUCCACCUGGGGAGUACGGUCGCAAGAUUGAAACUCAAAGGAAUUGACGGGGGCCCGCACAAGCGGAGGAGCAUGUGGUUUAAUUCGAUGAUACGCGAGGAACCUUACCCGGGCUUGAAAGUUAGUGAAUGAUCCAGAGACGGAUCAGUCCUUCGGGACACGAAACUAGGUGCUGCAUGGCUGUCGUCAGCUCGUGCCGUGAGGUGUUGGGUUAAGUCCCGCAACGAGCGCAACCCCUAUGUUUAGUUGCCAGCACAUAAUGGUGGGGACUCUAAACAGACUGCCAGCGUAAGCUGUGAGGAAGGUGGGGACGACGUCAAGUCAUCAUGGCCCUUACGUCCGGGGCUACACACGUGCUACAAUGGACGGUACAGCGGGCAGCUACAUAGCAAUAUGAUGCUAAUCUCUAAAAGCCGUUCACAGUUCGGAUUGAGGUCUGCAACUCGACCUCAUGAAGUUGGAUUCGCUAGUAAUCGCGUAUCAGCAAUGACGCGGUGAAUACGUUCCCGGGCCUUGUACACACCGCCCGUCAAGCCAUGAAAGUUGGGGGUACCUAAAGCAUGUAACCGCAAGGAGCG
rnacentral:rRNA from 1 species